GACGAACGCUGGCGGCGUGCCUAAUACAUGCAAGUUGAGCGCUGAAGGUUGGUACUUGUACCAACUGGAUGAGCAGCGAACGGGUGAGUAACGCGUGGGGAAUCUGCCUUUGAGCGGGGGACAACAUUUGGAAACGAAUGCUAAUACCGCAUAAAAACUUUAAACACAAGUUUUAAGUUUGAAAGAUGCAAUUGCAUCACUCAAAGAUGAUCCCGCGUUGUAUUAGCUAGUUGGUGAGGUAAAGGCUCACCAAGGCGAUGAUACAUAGCCGACCUGAGAGGGUGAUCGGCCACAUUGGGAAUGAGACACGGCCCAAACUCCUACGGGAGGCAGCAGGAGGGGAUCUUCGGCAAUGGACGAAAGUCUGAACGAGCAACGCCGCGUGAGUGAAGAAGGGUUUCGGAUCGUAAAACUCUGUUGGUAGAGAAGAACGUUGGUGAGAGUGGAAAGCUCAUCAAGUGACGGUAACUACCCAGAAAGGGACGGCUAACUACGUG
rnacentral:rRNA from 1 species